AUUUUCUCCCUUUCUCACUAAGUCAAUCUAGAGGAAGAAAAUGCAGCCUUCCCGUGCCUCCAUCGUUUUUGGUUCAAGUUCAAGGUCACUGAUUACUUUGCCACCAUCAAGUAGUAGCGUUGAUCGUGCCACAGUUACCGGAACCAGAGUGUGAUUCCAUAGCCAC